AACCCUUCUCAUAUUUCUUUUUUUUGUUUUCUUUUUGGGCCGAGAAAAGGGAAGAAAGAAGACAGUUUUGGGCCUUUGGUGCUUAAUUCCAUCUUAUGGGCGCAUUUUUGAUGAUUUUUGGCCCAUUGGGCUCCUAUGAUGAAUUACAGCCCAAUUUGGCAAAAAUAAUGGGUUACAUAGCCCAUUAAAGCUAACUAGGUUAANAGGGAAGAAAGAAGAGAGUUUUGGGCCUUUGGUGCUUAAUUCCAUCUUAUGGGCGCAUUUUUGAUGAUUUUAGGCCCAUUGGGCUCCUAUGAUGAAUUACAGCCCAAUUUGGCAAAAAUAUUGGGUUACAUAGCCCAUUAAAGCUAACUAGGUUAGUUAUGGCCCAAUAUGGUCCAUUAGGGUAUUUU
rnacentral:lncRNA from 1 species